GACGAACGCUGGCGGCGUGCUUAACACAUGCAAGUCGAACGAAAAGGCGCGGCGUUUGUUGGGUGGUCGUGUGGGGAACAGGGGAGUAACACGUGAGUAACCUGCCCCUGACUUUGGGAUAACUUCAGGAAACUGGGGCGAAUACCGGGUAGGAUCUACUGCUGCAUGGGGUGGGUUGGAAAGAGUCGGUUGUUGGGGAUGGUAUAGCUGCAUACCCGCUUGUUGGUGGGGUAGGUGCUGACCAAGGCUUUGACGGGUAGGCCGCCUGGGAGAGUGGACGGGCACCUUGGGCCUGCGAUACGGCCCAGAAUGCUAUGGGACGCAGCAGUCGGGAGUCUUGCACAACGGCGGGACGCGUGAUACAGCAACGCUGCGUGCGGGAUGCCGGCUUUUUGGUUGUAAACCGCUUUCGCCUGUGCCGAAGCGUGAGUGACGGUACUGGGUAAAAAAGCACCGGCUAACUACGUG
rnacentral:rRNA from 1 species